rnacentral:rRNA from 1 species
GUCUACAACCAAACCUCCCUGAACGCUCCUGAUCUUGUCUGAUCUCAGAAGCAGGGUUUAGCCUGGUUAGUACUUGGAAGGGAGAAACACAACUAGCGACUGAAUACA